AUAUAGCCGCUAAAAUUAGUCAAAUGUGUGUAUGGAAUGGUCAAAGAUGAUCAUAUCCUCUCUACGUAUGAACGAAUAUAAUUGAAACUCACUUCUAUAAAUCAGCUAUUUGGGGGGGAAGGGGGGCCACCGAUCCAGUAGAAUGAUCAAAACCAGUUUAAUUCCUUUCUAAAUAGAAGUCAAAAAUACGCAUUAGCUAUUGAUCUUUUAAAUACUUUAAAAACUAAAGGAAGUCUUUUCUAGUUGAUGAUAGUUUUGAUUAUAAAAUAUAUUUUGCAUUGUAAAAAUCUAUCCAUACAUGAUCGUAUCUGACGGAUGAUAGAUUACAUUACUUCAAAUUAUUUUCAUUCAUAUCUUGUGUUGGGGGUUUGGAUUGGUUCGUCCCCUCUACUACCAGAAUGGCGCUGAUGUGAGAGAGCUCUUUUGCCCCAGUGGCCUAACAUCUUGUUCUUUUGCAGAUAUACACGUGGAACUUAAAAAGUAUGGUUGAAAAUCGAAUUUAAUAGUAUGUGAUAAAAGAACUAGUUUUGAUUCUAUAAAAUUUAUCCUGGAACUUAAUAAUAAGUUUGUAACAAGUCAAUGUAAAGAAUCUUUUAAUUUGAACCGAUGUAUGUAGAGAAGAUCGUGAACUUCACAGGGAGAAUUAAAGAUCUGAAUAAGAAAUGAAUGCAACGAAGAAGUUGAGAUGGGCGUGUAAAGUAGAAAGGUUAAAAAGGUCAAAAAGAACCUCUUGAUAAAGUUCAAGUACUUUGUAUGAGUCCAUCUUACAGUAGUAAAGGUUGGGAUUCAGUAUAUUGAAAAGAAAAUUUGUAAAGGGCGUAACAAAAUUUUCCUCAGCACAAACACACACACACUCUCUCUCUCUCUCUUCGCCUUUCUCUCUCCUUUCAUUGGUUUUGUAUAUUUGUUUGUUAUGAGAUUUUGGGGGUAGAGAGAAAUGAUGACGGCAAGCAGUACAAGUGGAAAAAUCAGAUUUGAAUGAAAAUGAGAGACUAUUUUCGUCAAACUUUAGAAAACGAAGUCAUGUGUAUUACAUAAGGCAAAGGGCUAGUUGGUUGAUGCAAAAAAAAAUUAUGGAGAAUUAUUGAAAAAUGACACACACAGGGGCAAAAACCUCGAUUAAUUAGAAGGAGGGUUAGAAAAUGAUAGCGUGUCACCCAAGCAGGAGAAAGGAGACUGCCUCGAAGACUGCCUUGGCAGGCUGGUUGAACAAGGAAAAAAAAAAAAUCACAUCUCAAAAAAGAGGCAAGGGAAAGAAUUCUAGCAAGCAGUUGUUUCUCUCUAUCGUUGUUUAAAACGUCUCUAAUUCUUCGCUUGCCGCAGCCCCUUCAGCUUCGGGAGGAAUUUCGAAACCCUCCUACAUUAACGGUUCUUAGUUAGCAACCAUAAACUCUAAAUAGCGAAGAAAGACCGAUGGAACAGAAUGUGGAAAACAAGACAAACCCGAAAUCCAACAAAGCAUAUUAAGAAACCUAAGAGUGGAAAAUAGGACUGUGAUGACAAGGGAAAAGAAAGAAAGGGAAAGAGAACGGGGAGCCAAACACGACAUACCUCAGUCGAAUAGAGGAUAGCUUGAAUAUGUUUCACGAGUGAAUCAUCAUCUUUAUCCAAUUCAGGGUCCGCCUCGACAGCCUGCUGCAGCAACAGUUCGAUAUCCCGCAAUUUCGCAAAGUAGAAAUCGCGCUCUUUCUCCAGACCCGCAAUGGCUUCCUUUUGCGCAUUUAUCUCCGACAUUAGCGCGGCUGAGUUGGCGCUACCAGCGCCGCCGGCGAGGCGUGGACGGCCGCCUGCCGAGUUCACAGGGGUCGUGCCACCUCGACGUGCGCCUGUGGCGGAUGUAGUGCCUGGUCCACGGGUGGAAUUGGAGGCAGGAGCCCCUGCAGCCUUUCGUCUGGCUAGGGCGUCAUAAUCACCACCCGGGUAGUAUUGGUCCCAGUGUUUCUUGGUCCAUUGGAGGAAUUCAAGGUUAUCUUGCAUUCGGCAUUUGAUGAGGUUUUCAACAGGGACGGGGCGGUCUAUUUGGUGCCGUGUGAAGACGUCUAAUAGGUUAAAUUGUCAGAAAUUGGGGAUACAUGUAAUAUUUGAAAGGCAUCCCAACGGUAUCUGACAAAGAGAUAUCCGCUAUUGAAAGUCGGUUGCAUGCUGGGGGUUCAAUUUGGGAGAGAGAUCUCGAGGGGCUCGUACUUUGCAGGAUCUUGAAGUUCUGGAGGUAGGCGUAUUCAGUAUUGACAUUGAACUUGACCCUUGACAUGGGCACAUCCACUAUGUCACGAUCGAGUCCAAGUUGGUUAGUGAUAUGCCAAUUGUUUUCUCUGGAAGGAAUCCACAUGAAGAGCACUAACUGUAUAUAGAAUCAAAAACCUGGCAUAGGGCAGCCCUAUAUCGAUCACAUGCGCAAAGCAGUAUCUCGUCAGUCAAUUUCCCAUGACAACCCUCUUCUUCCCGCAAUCCAACAAAAAUCCCAUACAAACUGCUCCCGUAAAAGCCAUCCGGAACGCUUCCAAACUGGUUAAAGCCCCAUAGAGCGCGAAGGCAGGAUGGGGGGGAGGGGGGAGAUGGAGGGGGAGGACAAAUUAUAUCGGGAGGAAGGGAGCCGAACGAAACUCGACACAAAGGAAACUGCAUGAAAAAACUUAUAGUGCAUACCCGGUACCGCAUUGCUCGACCUUGGUAACGUUCAGCUGCAGCAGGUUGUUCAGCCAUGCCAACAGCUCUUGCCUGCAUAUUUGAUCCCAAUCCCGAAAAGGAACAGGAGGAGAAUCGUCAGCUUGAGAUCACUUGUAUGUGUGUUUCGGAAAGAAGCCAGAAGAUGGCAUUCAAUAUUUGGGCAAAGGAAUGUAAAAGAAGAUAAAAGGUUGGUUGGCGGGGAAAACUGUUAUUUAAUAGUACCGUUUUGAAGAGAGGAAAUAAAGAUAAAAAAAAAAAUAAAUCAUAACGGGCUCGACCAUCCCACCAUUCCAUCAAUCAAACCUGCAUAGUUUGCUUUUUCCCGGAAAGUAACAAUGGAUAAAAAGAUGAAGACGACACAAAAGUCAUUCGAACGAACGUACCUGGAUUCACCCAUGGCAAACAAAGAUCAAAAUGAUAUCAGGGGUCUGCGUAUCCCUCCCUCAAACGGAUGACUGGCCCGUUGUAAACUUUCUCGCACGUUGGUUUUUUCUUCGCGAGGCUGUACCUGUAUGACCCAGAUGCCGGUUGGGAGAUGAUAUUCAGGCGUGGAGGGUC
rnacentral:sRNA from 2 species